UGAAAUGCGAAGACAAGGAAUAGUAACUGUCCUACUUUUUUCAGAGAGUUGCCGGUUGGUGUGAGGCAAUAAAAGAAAUACAGUGAACUCGCCUUUGAGCAGCAAACCUGAAUACAAAUAGUAGGGUUUGACGGAAUCUCACCGUUACAGGGGAACAGCAUGACAGUGCUGAUGAGUGCGUAUUUGAUACGAAGUAGAGUGGUACCGCGGAACAAUGGCUUUCGUCUCUACA
rnacentral:ncRNA from 1 species